GCCAGGUGGCAUAGUGGUUUGAACACUGAACUACAACUCUCGAGAUCAGGGUUCAAUUCCCUGCUUGAGCA